rnacentral:rRNA from 1 species
UAGUCCACGCCGUAAACGAUGUCUACUUGGAGGUUGUGGCCUUGAGCCGUGGCUUUCGGAGCUAACGCGUUAAGUAGACCGCCUGGGGAGUACGGUCGCAAGAUUAAAACUCAAAUGAAUUGACGGGGCCCGCACAAGCGGUGGAGCAUGUGGUUUAAUUCGAUGCAACGCGAAGAACCCUACCUACUCUUGACAUCCAGAGAACUUUCCAGAGAUGGAUUGGUGCCUUCGGGAGCUCUGAGACAGGUGCUGCAUGGCUGUCGUCAGCUCGUGUUGUGAAAUGUUGGGUUAAGUCCCGCAACGAGCGCAACCCUUAUCCUUGUUUGCCAGCGAGUCAUGUCGGGAACUCCAGGGAGACUGCCGGUGAUAAACCGGAGGAAGGUGGGGACGACGGUCAAGGUCAUCAUGGCCCUUACGAGUAGGGGCUACACACGUGCUACAAUGGCGCAUACAGAGGCGGCAACUUGCGAGAGUGAGCGAAUCCCAAAAAGUG